rnacentral:rRNA from 1 species
AUUGAACGCUGGCGGCAGGCUUAACACAUGCAAGUCGAGCGGAGCGAGGGUGCUUGCACCUUAGCUUAGCGGCGGACGGGUGAGUAAUGCUUAGGAAUCUGCCUAUUAGUGGGGGACAACAUUCCGAAAGGAAUGCUAAUACCGCAUACGCCCUACGGGGGAAAGCAGGGGAUCUUCGGACCUUGCGCUAAUAGAUGAGCCUAAGUCGGAUUAGCUGGUUGGUGGGGUAAAGGCCUACCAAGGCGACGAUCUGUAGCGGGUCUGAGAGGAUGAUCCGCCACACUGGGACUGAGACACGGCCCAGACUCCUACGGGAGGCAGCAGUGGGGAAUAUUGGACAAUGGGCGGAAGCCUGAUCCAGCCAUGCCGCGUGUGUGAAGAAGGCCUUUUGGUUGUAAAGCACUUCAAGCGAGGAGGAGGCUACUUAGAUUAAUACUCUAGGAUAGUGGACGUUACUCGCAGAAUAAGCACCGGCUAACUCUGUGCCAGCAGCCGCAGUAA